AGAGCAUGAUGAGGGUACUUUGGAGCAUUUUUUUGAAAUCUCUCCCAACUUUCAUAAAUAUUUUCUCCUUCAAACUGAGUAAAAGAAGUAAUGCCAUUCCUAAGUUU